rnacentral:misc_RNA from 1 species
UUUCAUAAUUUAUAUUGUAAAAUUUAUUUAGCUAUUGGUUUAAAAAAACCAUAUUCAAGAUUGACUAUUUUCCCAAUAUUGAUUUGAUCCACCAAAAUCCUUUAGUGUCCUUUGGGGCAUCUUCACCAUCUGGUGGAGGAUCAGCUUGAGGUGUCUUGUGAAGUUUGCUCACAUCAUAUCCUACUUCUUUUGCCUUCUCAACAAGUUGGUUGUAUAUUUCUUCAUCAAGAUGUGGUUGCCUACAUAAUAUCUCUGGCAGAAAGAGAGUUCAACGAUGCCAUGGCUGCAAAAACCAACAGAAAAUGUGGUGCAUGCACUUCCAAGAUAUGGGUCAAAUAAUCUCAAAUGCCCGAUUACUAUAAGCUUAGGAGGGAAUGAAAGAUGUACAAAAUCAUCAUCGCCUCUUUCCAUCAAUUAUACUCAUCGCCACCUGAAUAACUUGUCUCAAAGGCGGAUCCAGGAUUAACUUUUCUCCGGAGGUGAAUCCAGACUUUGUUUAUUGGGCUAUUGAUAGAUUAUUACACAUUUUAGCUGAAGUUAAAACAAAUACAAGGUUUUGGCCUAGGUUUUGCUGAAUUGAUACCUUCCAAACAUCAGAGAAAGUACAACAAUUACAUACCCAGUGUAAUACCACAAGUGGGUUGGGGGAGGGUAGAGCAUACGUAGACCUUACCCCUACUUUGUAAAGAUAGAGAGGCUGCAUCCAAUAGACUCUUGGCUCAAGUAACACACCUCAAAACAGCCUGGCAACACCAUGACAGAGAGAAAGUGAGGCUCAGAUAUGUAAUAAGCUCGAGCAAAAAGAGUCUGGUGAUGCCAUGGCUGCAAUAACCACCAGAAACUCUG